AGAGUUUGAUCCUGGCUCAGAUUGAACGCUGGCGGCAGGCCUAACACAUGCAAGUCGAGCGGUAGAGAGAAGCUUGCUUCUCUUGAGAGCGGCGGACGGGUGAGUAAUGCCUAGGAAUCUGCCUGGUAGUGGGGGAUAACGUUCGGAAACGGACGCUAAUACCGCAUACGUCCUACGGGAGAAAGCAGGGGACCUUCGGGCCUUGCGCUAUCAGAUGAGCCUAGGUCGGAUUAGCUAGUUGGUGGGGUAAUGGCUCACCAAGGCGAUGAUCCGUAACUGGUCUGAGAGGAUGAUCAGUCACACUGGAACUGAGACACGGUCCAGACUCCUACGGGAGGCAGCAGUGGGGAAUAUUGGACAAUGGGCGAAAGCCUGAUCCAGCCAUGCCGCGUGUGUGAAGAAGGUCUUCGGAUUGUAAAGCACUUUAAGUUGGGAGGAAGGGUUGUAGAUUAAUACUCUGCAAUUUUGACGUUACCGACAGAAUAAGCACCGGCUAACUCUGUGCCAGCAGCCCGCGGUAAUACGGAGGGUGCAAGCGUUAAUCGGAAUUACUGGGCGUAAAGCGCACGCAGGCGGUUUGUUAAGUCAGA
rnacentral:rRNA from 1 species